rnacentral:rRNA from 1 species
UAAUACCUGCAGCUCAAGUGGUGAUCAUUAUUAUUGGGCCUAAAACGUCCGUAGCCGGUUUAGUAAAUGCCUGGGUAAAUCGUGUAGCUUAACUAUACGACUUCCGGGUAGACUGCUAAGCUUGAGAUCGGGAGAGGCUAGAGGUACUCCUGGGGUAGAGGUGAAAUUCUGUAAUCCUGGGGGGACCACCAGUGGCGAAGGCGUCUAGCUAGAACGAGUCUGACGGUGAGGGACGAAGCCCUGGGGCGCGAACCGGAUUAGAUACCCGGGUAGUCCAGGGUGUAAACGCUGCUUGCUUGAUGUUAGUCGGGCUCCGAGCCCGAUUAGUGUCGGAGAGAAGUUGUUAAGCAAGCUGCCUGGGAAGUACGGUCGCAAGACUGAAACUUAAAGGAAUUG